rnacentral:rRNA from 1 species
AUCUCUUGGUUCCAGCAUCGAUGAAGAACGCAGCGAAAUGCGAUAAGUAAUGUGAAUUGCAGAAUUCAGUGAAUCAUCGAAUCUUUGAACGCACAUUGCGCCCCUCGGUAUUCCGGGUGGUAUGCCUGUUCGAGCGUCAUU